UACAGAGGGUGCACGCGUUAAUCGGAAUUACUGGGCGUAAAGCGCGCGUAGGUGGUUUGUUAAGUUGGAUGUGAAAGCCCCGGGCUCAACCUGGGAACUGCAUCCAAAACUGGCAAGCUAGAGUACGGUAGAGGGUGGUGGAAUUUCCUGUGUAGCGGUGAAAUGCGUAGAUAUAGGAAGGAACACCAGUGGCGAAGGCGACCACCUGGACUGAUACUGACACUGAGGUGCGAAAGCGUGGGGAGCAAACAGG
rnacentral:rRNA from 1 species